rnacentral:rRNA from 1 species
AACGAACGCUGGCGGCGUGGAUAAGACAUGCAAGUCGAGCGGGGUACUAUUUGUAGCAAUACCGGUAGUGCUCAGCGGCGCAAGGGUGCGUAACACGUGGGCAACCUGCCCGGAAAUGGGGGAUAGCUCGUCGAAAGGCGAAUUAAUACCGCAUGUGGCGAAGGGUGACAUCACCUUGUAGCUAAAGUCGGGGCAACCUGACGUUUCUGGAUGGGCCCGCGGCCUAUCAGCUAGUUGGUGUGGUAACGGCGCACCAAGGCUAUGACGGGUAGCUGGUCUGAGAGGACGACCAGCCACACUGGAACUGAGACACGGUCCAGACACCUACGGGUGGCAGCAGUCGAGAAUUUUUCUCAAUGGGGGAAACCCUGAAGGAGCGACGCCGCGUGAAGGAUGAAGGUCUUCGGAUUGUAAACUUCUGUCAUUGGUGAACAAGGCCCACGCAGUAACUGGUGUUGGGAUUGAUAGUAGCCGAAGAGGAAGAGACGGCUAACUCUGUGCCAGCAGCCGCAGUAAAAC